rnacentral:rRNA from 1 species
GACGAACGCUGGCGGCGUGCUUAACACAUGCAAGUCGAACGGAAAGGCCCUGCUUUUGUGGGGUGCUCGAGUGGCGAACGGGUGAGUAACACGUGAGUAACCUGCCCUUGACUUUGGGAUAACUUCAGGAAACUGGGGCUAAUACCGGAUAGGAGCUCCUGCUGCAUGGUGGGGGGUGGAAAGUUUCGGCGGUUGGGGAUGGACUCGCGGCUUAUCAGCUUGUUGGUGGGGUAGUGGCUUACCAAGGCUUUGACGGGUAGCCGGCCUGAGAGGGUGACCGGCCACCUUGGGACUGCGAUACGGCCCAGACUCCUACGGGAGGCAGCAGUGGGGAAUAUUGCACAAUGGGCGGACGCCUGAUGCAGCAACGCCGCGUGCGGGAUGACGGCCUUCGGGUUGUAAACCGCUUUCGCCUGUGACGAAGCGUGAGUGACGGUAAUGGGUAAAGAAGCACCGGCUAACUACGUG